rnacentral:rRNA from 1 species
UGGGGAAUUUUCCGCAAUGGGCGCAAGCCUGAUGCAGCCAUGCCGCGUGUGUGAAGAAGGCCUUCGGGUUGUAAAGCACUUUCAGCGAGGAGGAAGGGUAGUGUGUUAAUAGCACAUUGCAUUGACGUUACUCGCAGAAGAAGCACCGGCUAACUCCGUGCCAGCAGCCGCGGUAAUACGGAGGGUGCAAGCGUUAAUCGGAAUUACUGGGCGUAAAGCGCACGCAGGCGGUUUGUUAAGUCAGAUGUGAAAUCCCCGCGCUUAACGUGGGAACUGCAUUUGAAACUGGCAAGCUAGAGUCUUGUAGAGGGGGGUAGAAUUCCAGGUGUAGCGGUGAAAUGCGUAGAGAUCUGGAGGAAUACCGGUGGCGAAGGCGGCCCCCUGGACAAAGACUGACGCUCAGGUGCGAAAGCGUGGGGAGCAAACA